rnacentral:lncRNA from 1 species
UCAGAGAAGCCCCUGCCGCUGUGCGCGGGGCUGGCGGACUGUGCGGCCCCGCGGACUGCCCGCCCGGGGAGGGGGGGUUUGCGUGAGGACCGCGUUCCGUUCGCCCCAGGUGACCCAGGUGCUGCGCUGCCCUCGGGCUUCCCGCCUCCCAGGGCCGACGAGAAGAACCGUUGGUUUGAAAGGCGGGCGCGGGCAGCGCCUGGAGUGAGCCGGGCGGGCGCGGGGCGCGGGGCGCGGGGACUCUGUCUUGGGGGGCGCGUGCGCCCCUGGCUAAGGGCUGGGGGUGUGGACGACGCGGAAGGACCACGGCCGACCUGGCCCGCUCGGUGCAGGUGCAGGGACAAGGACAGUAGUCACCUGCUGUCAGCAAAGGCGACGCCAGGUCGCACGGGGAAGGAGCCUUGCUAGGGUCACGGAGCUAGGAAGUGACGGACUGGCCCUAGCCUGGGCGGGGGUGUGUGCGGCUGCUGUCAGAAACCCAGACGAGGGACAUCUAGGAGAGUAAAUGAAAGGCUGCCGGAGGUCCGGGGGUGGCAAGGGGAGCACGGAACCCAGAGAAGACCUAGCAGGGGGCAGAGAAAGGGCAAUAGGAGCGACCCUCGGGUGCCCAGGGUCCACCGGUCGGUGGGGUCCCGGAUGGCGUGGGUCUGCCCUGAGCAGCGUAGAGCCAAAAUGAGGCGUACACGGGCGACUUGAGAUCAUGGGC